GCCGAAGUGGCGGAACUGGCAGACGCAGCGGACUCAAAAUCCGCCGGGCCUCAACACCCGUGUGGGUUCGACUCCCACCUUCGGCACCA
rnacentral:tRNA from 1 species